rnacentral:ncRNA from 2 species
CGAAAUCGGGUGAGGCUGGGUCCGCUAAGAGCGGAAACAGGGAAAACGGUGAAGCCUUCGCAAAGCGUAGAAGGUCAGGCCGUUGCUGCCCCGCAACUGUAAGCGGCAUUGAAAUCUGCUGAACGCCACUGUCCAAAAGACAAGUGUUAAGUUGUAAGUGUUGAGUGUGUAGUUCCAGAACCCGACACUCAACGCUAAACGCUCAACACUACUUGGACGGGAAGGCGCAGAGAGUAAGCUAAGCCGCGAGUCAGGAGACCUGCCCAACCUUUAGGUGCUGA